rnacentral:pre_miRNA from 1 species
UCCAGAUCACUGCAUUGUUCUGUCCAGGUGCCUGCGAAGAUCCCGACGUCGGUGAGGCCGAACGGAACAACGCGUUUAGUGAGC